GACGAACGCUGGCGGCGUGGAUUAGGCAUGCAAGUCGGACGGUAGGGCUUUAUCGUAAGAUAGAGUUUGAGAGUGGCGAACGGGUGAGUAACACGUAGGUUAUCUACCCUCAAGACGGGGACAACCCAGGGAAACUUGGGCUAAUACCGGAUGUGAGCAACUUUUAGUUGUUUGAAAGGUGGCGUAAGCUGUCGCUUGGGGAUGAGCCUGCGUCCUAUUAGUUAGUUGGUGAGGUAACGGCUCACCUAGGCAAUGAUAGGUAGGCGGCCUUAACGGGUGGUCGCCCACACUGGGAUUGAGAUACGGCCCAGACUCCUACGGGAGGCAGCAGUCGAGAAUAGUCUACAAUGGUCGGAAGACUGAUAGUGCGACGCCGCGUGAACGAUGAAUCCCUUCGGGGUGUAAAGUUCUUUUAUAUGUGAGCAGUGCUUCUUAUAUUAACAGUAUGGGGAGAGAGAUAUUAGCAUAUGAAUAAGCAACGGCUAACUCCGUGCCAGCAGCCGCGGU
rnacentral:rRNA from 1 species